UGGGGAAUCUUGCGCAAUGGGGGAAACCCUGACGCAGCGACGCCGCGUGCGGGAUGAAGGCCUUCGGGUUGUCAACCGCUUUCAGCAGGGACGAGGCCUUAUGGUGACGGUACCUGCAGAAGAAGCUCCGGCUAAAUACGUGCCAGCAGCCGCGGUCAUACGUAUGGAGCAAGCGUUAUCCGGAUUCAUUGGGCGUAAAGCGCUCGUAGGCGGUCUGUUAGGUCGGCAAGUUAAAUCCGGGGGCUCAACGCCCGUCCGCUUCCGAUACCGGCAGACUUGAGUUUGGUAGGGGAAGGGGGAAUUCCUAGUGUAGCGGUGGAAGGCGCAGAUAUUAGGAAGAACACCGGUGGCGAAGGGGGCCUGCUGGAACAUAAAUGACGCUGAGGAGCGAAAGCUAGGGGAGCGAACAGG
rnacentral:rRNA from 1 species